rnacentral:precursor_RNA from 1 species
UAGGAAAGGCAAAUUGCAGGUUUGUGCGUGCAUCUAAUCUAAUGAAAGAUUUUGAAGGACUUUCAUUUUUUCCCUCUAUUCCAUUUCCGUGUUAGAUUCACGCACAAACUUGUCAUUUGCCUUUACUA